CCUACGGGGGGCAGCAGUGAGGAAUAUUGGUCAAUGGGCGGGAGCCUGAACCAGCCAAGCCGCGUGAGGGAAGAAGGUACAGCAUAUCGUAAACCUCUUUUGUCAGGGAACAAAGGCGGGGACUAGUCCCCGGAUGAGGGUACCUGAAGAAAAAGCAUCGGCUAACUCCGUGCCAGCAGCCGCGGUAAUACGGAGGAUGCGAGCGUUAUCCGGAUUUAUUGGGUUUAAAGGGUGCGCAGGCGGCCUGUUAAGUCAGCGGGAAAAGCCCGGGGCUCAACCCCGGCGAGCCGUUGAAACUGGCGGGCUGGAGUUGGAGAGAAGUACGCGGAAUGCGCGGUGUAGCGGUGAAAUGCUUAGAUAUCGCGCAGAACCCCGAUUGCGAAGGCAGCGUACCGGCUCCACACUGACGCUGAGGCACGAAAGCGUGGGUAUCGAACAGGAUUAGAUACCCCAGUAGUC
rnacentral:rRNA from 1 species